rnacentral:rRNA from 1 species
GAUGAACGCUGGCGGCGUGCCUAACACAUGCAAGUCGAACGGUAACAGGAAUCAGCUUGCUGAUUUGCUGACGAGUGGCGGACGGGUGAGUAAUGUCUGGGAAACUGCCUGAUGGAGGGGGAUAACUACUGGAAACGGUAGCUAAUACCGCAUCACGUCGCAAGACCAAAGAGGGGGACCUUCGGGCCUCUUGCCAUCGGAUGUGCCCAGAUAGGAUUAGCUAGUAGGUGGGGUAACGGCUCACCUAGGCGACGAUCCCUAGCUGGUCUGAGAGGAUGACCAGCCACACUGGAACUGAGACACGGUCCAGACUCCUACGGGAGGCAGCAGUGGGGAAUAUUGCACAAUGGGCGCAAGCCUGAUGCAGCCAUGCCGCGUGUAUGAAGAAGGCCUUCGGGUUGUAAAGUACUUUCAGCGGGGAGGAAGGGGGUAAAGUUAAUACCUGUGCUCAUUGACGUUACCCGCAGAAGAAGCACCGGCUAACUCCGUGCCAGCCGCCGCAGUAA